UGGACACACAAAGAGUGAGGUUAACAGUGGAGGUUUAAUAGAUGGCAUCUCUAUCUGGAUGGUGGCUUGUUGCCUGCUUCUUUACUGUACACGUGGUUGACAAAGAAAAGGGAAGAUGGAGCCUCCAUGUUGAACAUGUCUGGCUCACAGCACCUGUAUCACAAUGCUAACUACAACAUGAUCAUCCCCCUCAGGGAAGUACAAGGUUAUUUAAAAGGACCAUCCAGGAAGCCUGAAGUACAUAUUGUAAACCAAAAAUAAAAUUCUAAGGCCUCACCAACUAUCUGGAUGGACUCUUCCUCUCAGCCAAGGGUAUUCCAAAGUUAACCUGAAAACCUAGUUCAGGCCAUGAUGGGAAGGGGGAGCCAGGCAUGCCUCAUGAUACCCUCCUCCCUUCUGGAACUACUGGAACAGACUCAGUGUGAUAAAAAUAAAAAGAGAAAAAAAUAUAUUUAUAGUCCAUUCUCUCUAAAGCCUGCUAACUGGAGGCUUCAUCUGCACAAUAAAACUUCCCUCUCCACAACCCUUUAUCUUAGCCUGGAUAUUCCUGUCUAUCAAUGAUAACUCUUUCAGCCAAUUGCCAAUCAGAAAACCUUUGAAUCCACCCAUGACUUGGAAGUCCCCACUUCCAGUUGUCCCACCUUUGUGGACCAAACCAAUGUACAUCUUAUGUGUAUUCAUUGAUGUCUUGUGUCUCCCUAAAAUAUACAAAAACAAGUUGUGGCCCAACCACCUUAGGCACAUUUUCUCAGGAUCUCCUGAGGGCUGUGUCACAGGACAUUGCUCACUUAUAUUUGGCUCAGAAUAAAUCUCUUCAAAUAUUUUACAGAGUUUGGCUCUUUUCAUUGACAAUGUACACAAACAACAUGGGAGAACCAAAAAUGUGUAAAUAAUUUUU
rnacentral:lncRNA from 10 species